AAUGUUAAAGUGUUUUUGCACUUAAAAAUUUGAUUUUUAAAGAGAUAUAAAUCUAACAUUU
rnacentral:tRNA from 1 species